rnacentral:rRNA from 1 species
CUACGGGUUGCUGCAGUGAGGAAUAUUGCACAAUGGGGGGAACCCUGAUGCAGCAACGCCGCGUGGAGGAUGACGCAUUUCGGUGUGUAAACUCCUUUUAUAUGUCAAGAAAAUGACGGUAGCAUAUGAAUAAGCACCGGCUAACUCCGUGCCAGCAGCCGCGGUAAUACGGAGGGUGCAAGCGUUACUCGGAAUCACUGGGCGUAAAGGACGCGUAGGCGGGUUGGAAAGUCAGGUGUGAAAUCCUACAGCUUAACUGUAGAACUGCACUUGAAACUUCUAAUCUAGAGUAUGGGAGGGGGAGAUGGAAUUAGUGGUGUAGGGGUAAAAUCCGUAGAUAUCACUAGGAAUACCUAAAGCGAAGGCGAUCUCCUGGAACAUUACUGACGCUAAGGCGUGAAAGUGUGGGGAGCAAACAGGAUUAGAUACCCGUAUAGUC